rnacentral:rRNA from 1 species
UACGUAGGGUCCGAGCGUUGUCCGGAAUUAUUGGGCGUAAAGGGCUCGUAGGCGGUCUGUUGCGUCGGGAGUGAAAACUUACAGCUUAACUGUGAGCGUGCUUCCGAUACGGGCAGACUUGAGGUAUUCAGGGGAGAACGGAAUUCCUGGUGUAGCGGUGAAAUGCGUAGAUAUCUGGAGGAACACCGGUGGCGAAGGCGGCAUCCUGGACCGAUACUGACGCUGAGGAGCGAAAGCCAGGGGAGCAAACGGG